CCUACGGGCGGCAGCAGUGGGGGAUAUUGCACAAUGGGGGAAACCCUGAUGCAGCGACGCCGCGUGUGGGAAGACGGUCCUCUUGAUUGUAAACCACUGUCCCCAGGGACGAAGAUGACGGUACCUGGGGAGGAAGCUCCGGCUAUCUACGUGCCAGCAGCCGCGGUAAUACGUAGGGAGCGAGCGUUGUCCGGAAUUACUGGGUGUAAAGGGAUCGUAGGCGGGGAUGAAAGUUGGGUGUCAAAACUACCGGCUAAACUGGUAUUCGCACUCACAACUGGAGCUCUUGAGUGAAGUAGAGGCAGGCGGAAUUCCUAGUGUAGCGGUGAAAUGCGUAGAUAUUAGGAGGAACACCAGUGGCGAAGGCGGCCUGCUGGGCUUUUACUGACGCUGAGGCUCGAAAGUGUGGGGAGCAAACAGGAUUAGAUACCCCUGUAGUC
rnacentral:rRNA from 1 species